ensembl:lncRNA
GUCCCAAAUAUCCCCCAAAAUGUCACCAAAUGUCCCCAAAAAGUCCCAAAUAUCCCCAAUUGUCCCCCAAAAUGUCCUCAAAAAUGUCCAAAAUGUCCCCAAAACGACCCCAAAAUGUCCCAAAUGUCCCAAAAUGUCCCAAAUAUCCCAAAUGUCCCCAAAAAUGUCCCAAAUAUCCCCCAAAAUGUCCCCAAAUGUCCCCAAAGUGUCCCCAAAUGUCCCAAAAAUGUCCCAAUUGGCCCAAAAUAUCACCAAACGUCCCCCAAAAUGUCCCAAAAUGUCCCCCAAAAGUCCCAAAUAUCCCCCAAAAUGUCCCCGAAUGUCCCCAAAGUGUCCCAAAUGUCCCAAAUAUCCCACAAAAUGUCCAAAAUUGUCCCCAAAUAGUCCCAAAUAUCCCCCAAAAUGUCCCCAAAUGUCCCCAAAAGGUCCCCAAAUGUCCCAAAAAUGUCCCCAAAACGUCCAAAAUAUCCACAGUUGUCCCCAAAAAUGUCCUCAAAAAUGUCCCAACUGUCCCCAAAACGACCCCAAAAUGUCCCAAAUAUCCCAAAUGUCCCCCAAAAUGUCCCAAAUAUCCCCCAAAAUAUUCCCCAAAUGUCCCAAAAAUGUCCCCAAAACGUCCAAAAUAUCCACAAUGGUCCCCAAAAAUUUCCUCAAAAAAGUCCCAAAUGUCCCCAAAACGACCCCAAAAUGUCCCAAAUAUCCCAAAUGUCCCCAAAAAUGUCCCAAAUAUCCCCCAAAAUGUCCCCAAAAGGUCCACAAAUGUCCCAAAAAUGUCCCCAAAACGUCCAAAAUAUCCACAAUGGUCCCCAAAAAUGUCCUCAAAAAUGUCCCAAAUGUCCCAAAAACGACCCCAAAAUGUCCCAAAUAUCCCAAAUGUCCCCAAAAAUGUCCCAAAUAUCCCCCAAAAUGUCCCCAAAAGGUCCACAAAUGUCCCAAAAAUGUCCCCAAAACGUCCAAAAUAUCCACAAUUGUCCCUAAAAAUGUCCUCAAAAAUGUCCCAACUGUCCCAAAAACGACCCCAAAAUGUCCCAACUGUCCCCAAAUGUCCCAAAAUGUUCCAAAAAAUGUCCCAAAAUGUCCCAAAUGUCCCCAAAAUGUCCCAAAAUGUCCCCAAAAAGUCCCAAAUAUCCCCCAAAAUGUCCCCGAAUGUCCCCAAAGUGUCCCAAAUGUCCCAAAUAUCCCACAAAAUCUCCCAAAUUGUCCCCAAAUAGUCCCAAAUAUCCCCCAAAAUGUCCCCGAAUGUCCCCAAAGUGUCCCCAAAUGUCCCAAAAAGUCCCAAAUAUCCCCCAAAAUGUCCCCGAAUGUCCCCAAAGUGUCCCAAAUGACCCCAAAUAUCCCCACCAAAUGGCCCCGAAUGUCCCAAAUGUCCCAAAUGACCCCAAAUAUCCCCCCAAAAUGGCCCCAAAU